CUUAAAGAGCCUGAAUUACCUUUCAGAGAUGCAUGUUUUUGUCUUUGACUGCAGAUGGAGUCUAAGAUGCCUCUGUUCCUAAAUUAGGUGCCACAAUUAUAAGCAGAGCAUAGCUGGAGAAGAAACUGAGACCUCAUCCAUGAGGAUUGUAUUCAGACAGCUGAGACCACACCAGACCUCUUAUCUAUGGUGCACCAAUGCUGGAAACUGAAACUGUCUUCUGAGAAUACAUUAAGUCCAAACUCCUUCAUAUCAAACACUGCUCAUCCUUUACCUGACUAUUAAUUAAAAGAACUAAUUCUGCACUUCAGAAAAAAGGCAGAGAACAAGCAGGUACGAAAGAUGCUAUGUAAUUACUCUUCACGGCUCUGCAGCAGGUCCAACAUCCUCCUUCUUUGUGUGAAAAAUCUAUUACAAUCGACUCUGAGGCUCAUAAUUGUCUCCAUUAGUAAUGAUUUACAUGAUAUUACAGUGUCACUGAAUGUCAAGAAUUGACCUUAUUCAGUUUCUAGCUAUGAAGACUUUGUAUUUCUUUUUUCACCCAAGGAAACAUCGUGAGGAAUGAAGAAUUCAGUUUUCUGAUAUGACAAUGGCACCAGGACAGGGUGGAACAAUCUGUCACUCUACUUGGAAACCUCGAUAACGUGAUGCUUUUAAUUCACACAGCUUCAGUGCUUCUUAAAAAACUCAAAGUUAAUUUCAUAAAAGGAUUUCUGAGGAUUACAUGCCAAACUGGUUUUGGCCCUGCAGGCCUGAAAACUGCCAGAAGAGAAUAGGCCUCCAAUUCCAGCUGCAAGCCUGGAGGAGAAACAGGCGCUGGAAUUGAGGCGCCUCCCACACCACUGUGCUGUUGGAAGGCAUGGUGCACUGGUAUAUGACAUGGCAAGCUGGCAGAGCAGCAUGGAGUGAAAAAUCAUGGCUGUACACAUGCCUGUGAGACACUGGACCCAAAAGAGAUGUCGUAUAAGCAUUCCUUCAUCAAAGGAGUUUGUUCUAGGUUACGUUGGAUAGACCUGA